ensembl:lncRNA
CUGUUCCUGGGUCUUUACUCGGCAACACUGCUUUCCCCAGCCAGGCCCAUUGGCCUCCUUCUGACUGCCAGAGAGGAGGAGUACUCGAUCUGUCCAACAGCUCAACCAUACCUGCACGACGUGGUUUGUUUGUGUAGGCUCAUGUUUCAACGCGCACACCGUGCGUCAGGAUUUCACACAGGCACGCGAGGCAUCGAAAGCCAAACCUCUACCCUGUGACCUUUUAACCUCCUUGAGGCUGAUGUAUCGCGGGUGUACCACCAGCCAUCCAUUAUGACCCCUAUUUGUCUGCUUUCUGAAUGGGCUCACCCAAAUGCCAUCGUACCUUUCUCUACAUGUCAAACAACGUUUUUUCCAUGACCUCAGCAGUACGGCACUGUAAGCCAUUCUCUCGCCUCCACUCUCUUUCCCUGGACUUGGAAUCCUCCUUAAAUCCAGCUGGAAGAAACGUGUUCAAAAACAUCAACGGAAAAAUGUGUCAAUUGAGUUACCGUCCACAGAACAAAACUGCUGCCAGG